rnacentral:rRNA from 1 species
AUUGAACGCUGGCGGCAUGCUUUACACAUGCAAGUCGAACGGUAACAGGCCGCAAGGUGCUGACGAGUGGCGAACGGGUGAGUAAUGCAUCGGAACGUGCCCAGUCGUGGGGGAUAACUGCUCGAAAGAGCAGCUAAUACCGCAUACGAUCUAUGGAUGAAAGCGGGGGACCGUAAGGCCUCGCGCGAUUGGAGCGGCCGAUGUCAGAUUAGGUAGUUGGUGGGGUAAAGGCUCACCAAGCCAACGAUCUGUAGCUGGUAUGAGAGGACGACCAGCCAAAGUGGGACUGAAACACGGCCCAGACUCCUACGGGAGGCAGCAGUGGGGAAUUUUGGACAAUGGGGGCAACCCUGAUCCAGCAAUGCCGCGUGCAGGAAGAAGGCCUUCGGGUUGUAAACUGCUUUUGUACGGAACGAAACGGUCUGGGUUAAUACCCUGGGCUAAUGACGGUACCGUAAGAAUAAGCACCGGCUAACUACGUGCCAGCCGCCGCCGUAAAAC